rnacentral:pre_miRNA from 8 species
UGCAGACUCAGUACUCGGUGUAGAGUCUGUGUGAUUCAGAAGAGCAGCUACAUCUGAAUACUGGGUCAGUG